UACGUAGGUGGCAAGCGUUGUCCGGAUUUACUGGGCGUAAAGAGCGCGCAGGCGGUCGUUCAAGUCGCGUGUGAAAGCCCCCGGCUCAACUGGGGAGGGUCACGCGAUACUGAUCGACUCGAAGGCAGGAGAGGGUAGUGGAAUUCCCGGUGUAGUGGUGAAAUGCGUAGAUAUCGGGAGGAACACCAGUGGCGAAGGCGACUACCUGGCCUGUUCUUGACGCUGAGGCGCGAAAGCGUGAGGAGCAAACAGG
rnacentral:rRNA from 1 species